GUGUCCGUAGCUCAGCUGGAUAGAGCAACGGCCUUCUAAGCCGUGGGACGCGUGUUCGAGUCACGCCGGGCGCGCCA
rnacentral:tRNA from 1 species